AGGAGAAGAAAGAGAGGACAAAAGGAGACGAGGGUUGGAAAGAAGGGCACGAACUGCCAUGUUGAUUUUGUUGUGUGUUGUUCUGUUGUUUGUUGUUGUUUGGUUUGUUGUUCUCUUUCUCUUUCUCUU
rnacentral:ribozyme from 13 species